rnacentral:rRNA from 1 species
GAUCAUGGCUCAGGAUGAACGCUAGCUACAGGCUUAACACAUGCAAGUCGAGGGGCAGCAUGGACCCAGCUUUGCUGGGUUUGAUGGCGACCGGCGCACGGGUGAGUAACGCGUAUCCAACCUGCCCUUUACUCCGGGAUAGUCUCCCUGAAAGGGAGUUUAAUACCGGAUGUGUUUGUCUUUCCGCAUGGGAGCGACAAUAAAGAUUAAUGGUAAAGGAUGGGGAUGCGUCCCAUUAGCUUGUUGGG